GCAAGUCGAACGGUAACAUUGGUGCUUGCACCAGAUGACGAGUGGCGCACGGGUGCGUAACGCGUAUGCAACCUACCUUUUACUAGAGUAUAGCCCAGAGAAAUUUGGAUUAAUCCUCUAUAACAUCUUUUAAUUUCAUGAUUAUUAGAUUAAAGUUUUAAUGGUAAAAGAUGGGCAUGCGUCCUAUUAGUUUGUAGGUGAGGUAACGGCUCACCUAGACUACGAUAGGUAGGGGCCCUGAGAGGGGGAUCCCCCACACUGGUACUGAGACACGGACCAGACUCCUACGGGAGGCAGCAGUAAGGAAUAUUGGACAAUGGACGAAAGUCUGAUCCAGCCAUGCCGCGUGCAGGAUGAAAGCCCUAUGGGUUGUAAACUGCUUUUAUACAGGAAGAAAAACUCCGACGUGUCGGAGCUUGACGGUACUGUAAGAAUAAGGAUCGGCUAACUCCGUGCCAGCAGCCGCGGUAAUACGGAGGAUCCAAGCGUUAUCCGGAAUCAUUGGGUUUAAAGGGUCCGCAGGCGGUCUUUUAAGUCAGAGGUGAAAGCCUACAGCUCAACUGUAGAACGGGCCUUUGAUACUGAAAAGACUUGAGUUAUUGUGAAGUGGUUAGAAUGUGUGGUG
rnacentral:rRNA from 1 species